rnacentral:rRNA from 1 species
GACAGAGGGUGCAAACGUUGUUCGGAAUUACUGGGCGUAAAGCGCGUGUAGGCGGUUGCACAAGUCGGGUGUGAAAGCCCAGGGCUCAACCCUGGAAGUGCACUCGAAACUAGGCGACUGGAGUCUCGGAGAGGAAAGCGGAAUUCUGGGUGUAGAGGUGAAAUUCGUAGAUAUCCAGAGGAACACCGGUGGCGAAGGCGGCUUUCUGGACGAGUACUGACGCUGAGACGCGAAAGCGUGGGGAGCAAACAGG